rnacentral:rRNA from 1 species
GAUGAACGCUGGCGGCGUGCCUAAUACAUGCAAGUCGAGCGAACAGACGAGGAGCUUGCUCCUCUGACGUUAGCGGCGGACGGGUGAGUAACACGUGGAUAACCUACCUAUAAGACUGGGAUAACUUCGGGAAACCGGCGCUAAUCCCGGGUAAUCUAUUGAACCGCAUUGUUCAAUAGUGAAAGACGGCUUUUCUGUCACUAAUAGAUGGAUCCUCGCCGCAUUAGCUAGUUGGUAAGGUAACGGCUUACCAAGGCAACGAUGCGUAGCCGACCUGAGAGGGUGAUCGGCCACACUGGAACUGAGACACGGCCCAGACUCCUACGGGAGGCAGCAGUAGGGAAUCUUCCGCAAUGGGCGAAAGCUUGACGGAGCAACGCCGCGUGAGUGAUGAAGGUCUUCGGAUCGUAAAACUCUGUUAUUAGGGAAGAACAAAUGUGUAAGUAACUAUGCACGUCUUGACGGUACCUAAUCAGAAAGCCACGGCUAACUACGUG